rnacentral:rRNA from 1 species
CCUACGGGGGGCUGCAGUCGAGGAUCUUCGGCAAUGGGGGCAACCCUGACCGAGCGAUGCCGCGUGCGCGAUGAAGGCCUUCGGGUUGUAAAGCGCGAAAGAGGGGAGAAUCUAUCCUCAGUAAGCUCGGGCUAAGUUCGUGCCAGCAGCCGCGGUAAGACGAACCGAGCGAACGUUGUUCGGAAUCACUGGGCUUAAAGGGCGCGUAGGCGGGCUGUCAAGUCUGGGGUGAAAUCCCGCGGCUCAACCGUGGAACUGCCUCAGAUACUGACGGCCUCGAGGGAGGUAGGGGCGAGCGGAACGGAUGGUGGAGCGGUGAAAUGCGUUGAUAUCAUCCGGAACUCCGGUGGCGAAGGCGGCUCGCUGGCCCUUCUGACGCUGAGGCGCGAAAGCUAGGGGAGCAAACGGGAUUAGAUACCCUUGUAGUC